rnacentral:rRNA from 1 species
UACGUAGGGGGCAAGCGUUGUCCGGAAUCAUUGGGCGUAAAGCGCGUGUAGGCGGCCAGAAAAGUCCGCUGUGAAAACUCGAGGCUCAACUUCGAGCUGUCGGUGGAAACUUUCUGGCUAGAGUCCGGAAGAGGAGAGUGGAAUUCCUGGUGUAGCGGUGAAAUGCGCAGAUAUCAGGAAGAACACCCGUGGCUAAGGCGGCUCUCUAGUACGGUACUGACGCUGAGACGCGAAAGCGUGGGGAGCGAACAGG